rnacentral:rRNA from 1 species
AUUGAACGCUGGCGGCAGGCUUAACACAUGCAAGUCGAGCGAGCGGCGGACGGGUGAGUAAUGUCUGGGAAACUGCCUGAUGGAGGGGGAUAACUACUGGAAACGGUAGCUAAUACCGCAUACUAUCGGAUGUGCCUAGAUGGGAUUAGCUAGUUGGUGGGGUAAAGGCCCACCAAGGCGACGAUCCCUAGCUGGUCUGAGAGGAUGACCAGUCACACUGGAACUGAGACACGGUCCAGACUCCUACGGGAGGCAGCAGUGGGGAAUAUUGCACAAUGGGCGAAAGCCUGAUGCAGCCAUGCCGCGUGUAUGAAGAAGGCCUUCGGGUUGUAAAGUACUUUCAGCGGGGAGGCGUUACCCGCAGAAGAAGCACCGGCUAACUCCGUGCCAGCAGCCGCGGUAAUAC